UAAUAAUAGUUUAGGAUACCUAACCAGCCUUAGAAGCGGAUUACGCGACGUGUGAGCACGCGGGUAGUCUAUGUGUCAUAGAGUAUAGAGUUCCAUAGCGUUGUCUAACGUUAUGUGUAUUUGCAGGGUCGUGUCAUAAUUGGAGACUUUAAUUGGUUCUCCAAUGUAGAGUUCGAGUCGUGAGUCCAAUGCUGCCAGAUGAUGUUCCUUUGGCUGCAGGUUUUCCGAUCAUAGUUGAUAGCAUUGCAAAAGGGUACUUGGGAUGUUAUGACUGAAGCACGCCGCAACGGUCGUAGUUGGUGGACUACGGGUUGUCCACUUGUUUAUAGGUUUGGUUUAUGGCUUGUGACAUUUGUGUCACUUAUUCUUGUAAAGCCAUUUCCAUUAUGUAUUUAUAUUGAGGAAAGACUUAAACAGAUAGAUGUAAUAUGGCACUUUGUUUAUGAUUAUUUGUAAUAGAAGUUUAUGUUAUGAUUU